ensembl:misc_RNA Metazoa_SRP Metazoan signal recognition particle RNA
GCUGGGCGUAGUGGCGCACACCUGUAGUCCCAGCUACUCGGGAGGCUGAGGCAGGAGAAUUGCUUGAACCCAGGAGGUGGAGGUUGCAGUGAGCUGAGAUCGUGCCACUGCACUCCAGCCUGGGUGACAGAGCUAGACUCUGUCUCAA